rnacentral:rRNA from 1 species
GUGAGGAAUAUUGGUCAAUGGGCGAGAGCCUGAACCAGCCAAGUCGCGUGAAGGAAGAAGGAUCUAUGGUUCGUAAACUUCUUUUGCAGGGGAAUAAAGUGCGGGACGUGUCCUGUUUUGUAUGUACCCUGAGAAUAAGGAUCGGCUAACUCCGUGCCAGCAGCCGCGGUAAUACGGAGGAUCCGAGCGUUAUCCGGAUUUAUUGGGUUUAAAGGGUGCGUAGGUGGAUUGAUAAGUCAGCGGUGAAAGUUUGUAGCUUAACUGUAAAAUUGCCGUUGAAACUGUCGGUCUUGAGUGCAAAUGAGGUAGGCGGAAUGUGUUGUGUAGCGGUGAAAUGCUUAGAUAUAACACAGAACUCCGAUUGCGAAGGCAGCUUACUAAGCUACAACUGACACUGAAGCACGAAAGCGUGGGGAUCAAACAGGAUUAGAUACCCGUGUAGUCC